AUUGAACGCUGGCGGCAUGCUUUACACAUGCAAGUCGGACGGCAGCGGGGUAGUGCUUGCACUACUGCCGGCGAGUGGCGAACGGGUGAGUAAUAUAUUGGAACGUACCGAGUAAUGGGGGAUAACCAAUCGAAAGAUUGGCUAAUACCGCAUACGCUCUGAGGAGGAAAGCAGGGGACCUUCGGGCCUUGCGUUAUUCGAGCUGCCAAUAUCUGAUUAGCUAGUUGGUGGGGUAAGGGCCUACCAAGGCGACGAUCAGUAGCGGGUCUGAGAGGAUGAUCCGCCACACUGGGACUGAGACACGGCCCAGACUCCUACGGGAGGCAGCAGUGGGGAAUUUUGGACAAUGGGCGCAAGCCUGAUCCAGCCAUGCCGCGUGUCUGAAGAAGGCCUUCGGGUUGUAAAGGACUUUUGUUAGGGAAGAAAAAGGAGCGGUUAAUACCCGUUUCUGCUGACGGUACCUAAAGAAUAAGCACCGGCUAACUACGUG
rnacentral:rRNA from 1 species